AUAAUACUCCCUCCGUCCCAAAAUUCUUGUCUUAGAUUUGUCUAAAUACGGAUGUAUCAAGUCAUGUUUUAGUAUUAGAUGCACAUGUAUCUAGACAAAUAUAAUACAAGAAUUUUGGGAGGGGAGGGGGGGGGGG
rnacentral:pre_miRNA from 1 species